ACAUCAGCACGUUGUACGAGGCCCGGGAAGAGGAGGAAGGAGGUCCCUGUGCACCCUCAGACAUGGGCGACCUCCUCAGCAUACCCCCACCCCAGCAGAUCCUCAUCGCCACCUUCGAGGAGCCGAGAACAGUUGUCCUGUUUCCCAAGUGCCACUGACCAUAGACUAUCCAGACAGUGGCUGCGUGCGUGCGUGCGAGCGUGCGUGUGCUGCCCCAGAACUUAUACAGAGCUGAAGUAGACAUGGCUGGCACACUGGAUCCAGGGGGCCGGCUCUUUGGGAGAUCUGAAGCCAAUAAAGCAGCCACUUCUCGCCUCUGUUCUUGGAUAAA
rnacentral:lncRNA from 1 species